CAUUUACCCGCCAAGUAUAGUGAUUUAAAACGAGCACCGCCACUGUCUGAGAAUUACAGUGGCUGUCGCUGAAAUCUAAAAAUGUCUUCCUUGGAAAACGAGGAGGAAGAAGAGCUAGAAGAGGAAAUUCUCUCACCGUCCGAUUCGAGCGAUUCUGGUGACGAGUUCGCACAUGAUCGAGAAGAAGAUUUGGAAGACGACGACGACGGUGGGCACCGGCCUGUUGCACGAAAUCCGUCUGAUGAAGAUCGCAAAUCAAAGAAUGUGGACGCUCUUGUGAGGUCAUUCUAAUUUAUCAAUAAAUUAGCCAAGUUACCAUGAUAAUAAUCCCUUUUUGAAAGUUAGGGUUUGACAUUUUAGCUGAUUUAGGGUUUCCCUUGUUUGUUAUAGUUUAAUGAUUGCGAGUUUUUCUUCUUCUUUUGCUUAUUUGUUACCUGCCAUUGGAUUGGAAGCCUAGUUUGCUGAGAAAAUGUAGAAAAUUAGAGGGAUUUGAUGAUUCUCACUGGGCUGGAGGUUUUGAUUUCUCAGCUAACAUAUGAUCAAAUUUUUAUUAAUAAACAAACAAAUUAUCCUAACGUAUGAAUGCAAAAUCUGCCUAUUGUUUAUAAAUACUUGAAUGGAUUGAUUGGUUAUACUGACAUGUAAUAUUGAUUCAUGCGAUGGCCAAUGAGACUUAGGGAUUUUUGUCUAGGGUUCUUGUUUGCACUAUUGUUCUUGCAGUAUGGCUUCCUAGUUAUUACAGCUGUUAGAGGAUCUGAAAUACGGGGUUCUCAUGUUUUGGUUUUCAUCCAAGUUAACAGUUUACCUGGAUGGAACUUUUAUCAUUCUGCUGAAAUUGUGACCAUAAUUUACUAGAGGCAACCUUAUUGUAAGGAGACAGGCGCUGCUUCCUCGAGUUCUUUCAGUUACAGAAGGGGCAUCCAUUUGUAGGAAACCCUUUAAACCUCCAUGUUCCAAUGGCUAUAAAGAUGGAAAUGAAAAGCUCACACGUCGUCUUUGUGCCCGGAAACGAUUUGUUCCAUGGGGUUCUUCAAGUCCAGUUUUGGUGGCAAUAACUAAUCGGUUAAAUGUGUCAAGUACUGUUGAGAAAGAUAAAGUAGAAGAAACUGUGACUUUGCCACCUGGAAUUGAUCCUCUGGUGUUGUGGCAACCUGAAGAAUCCGAGGAUGGAGCUGGUAAUUCAGCAUCAGUAGUGGUGGAUCCAUUGCUUGUUCAGUUCCUUCGACCCCAUCAAAGAGAGGGGGUUCAAUUCAUGUUCGAAUGUGUUUCAGGGUUAUACAGUGCAGCCAAUAUCAAUGGAUGUAUUUUGGCUGAUGAUAUGGGUUUGGGAAAGACAUUGCAGUCAAUCACAUUGCUAUACACACUUCUUGGUCAAGGGUUUGAUGGAAAGCCUAUGGUUAAAAAAGCCAUCAUUGUCACUCCAACCAGCCUUGUAAGCAAUUGGGAGGCUGAAAUAAAAAAAUGGGUUGGAGAAAGAGUUAAGCUUAUAGCUCUAUGUGAAAGCUCUAGAGAUGAUGUGCUCACCGGAAUUGAUAGUUUCACAAGUCCUCAAAGUACUUUGCAGGUACUGAUUGUAUCAUAUGAGACAUUCCGGAUGCAUUCAUCAAAGUUUAGCCAUAGUGAAUCUUGUGACCUUCUCAUAUGUGAUGAGGCUCACAGGCUGAAAAAUGAUCAGACAUUAACAAACCGGGCAUUGGCUGCUCUCUCAUGCAAGCGCCGCAUUUUGUUGUCAGGAACUCCAAUGCAGAAUGACCUAGAAGAGUUCUUUGCAAUGGUAAACUUUACUAAUCCAGGGAUUUUGGGUGAUGCCACAUAUUUUCGUCGUCAUUAUGAGACGCCAAUUAUUUGUGGAAGAGAACCAACUGCCACUGAAGAAGAGAAGAAGUUAGCUGUUGAGCGCACUGGAGAAUUAAGUGCGAAAGUGAAUCAGUUCAUCUUGAGAAGGACUAAUGCAUUGCUAUCGAAUCACCUGCCGCCAAAGAUUGUUGAAGUUGUUUGUUGCAAAUUGACUCCUCUCCAAUCAGAGCUAUACAAUCAUUUUAUACAUUCCAAAAAUGUUAAACGAGCAAUCACUGAAGACACAAAGCAGUCAAAGAUUUUGGCUUAUAUUACGGCUCUUAAGAAGCUUUGCAAUCAUCCAAAGCUCAUUUAUGAUACCAUAAGAAGUGGAAGUCCAGGGACUUCAGGGUUUGAGGACUGUUUGCGAUUUUUCCCUUCAGAGAUGUUCUCUGGGAGAUCUGGUACUUGGAGUGGUGGUGGUGGUGCAUGGGUUGAACUUUCCGGUAAAAUGCAUGUUUUGGCUCGAUUAUUGGCCCAUUUACGUUGGCAAACUGAUGAUCGAAUUGUUCUUGUCUCAAACUAUACUCAGACCCUGGACCUUUUUGCUCAAUUAUGCCGGGAAAGAAGAUAUCCACACUUAAGGCUUGAUGGAACCACGUCAAUUGGUAAAAGACAAAAGCUAGUUAAUCGCUUCAAUGAUGCAUCAAAGGAUGAGUUUGUAUUUCUCCUAAGCAGUAAGGCUGGUGGUUGCGGCCUUAAUCUAAUAGGUGGUAAUCGGCUUGUCUUGUUUGAUCCUGACUGGAAUCCUGCCAAUGACAAACAGGCUGCUGCAAGAGUUUGGAGGGAUGGACAGAAGAAGAGAGUUUACAUCUAUAGAUUUCUAAGUACUGGAACAAUUGAAGAAAAGGUUUAUCAGCGUCAAAUGUCAAAAGAAGGGCUUCAAAAGGUUAUUCAGCAUGAGCAAAAUGAUAGCCUUGUUGCACAGGUUCUUGUUGCUGUUCUUGCUAUGUGAUUGAAGUUUUCUCCUGUAUUCAU
rnacentral:misc_RNA from 1 species